rnacentral:rRNA from 1 species
AUUGAACGCUGGCGGCAUGCCUUACACAUGCAAGUCGAACGGUAACGGGCCUUCGGGUGCCGACGAGUGGCGAACGGGUGAGUAAUGUAUCGGAACGUACCGUUCAGUGGGGGAUAACGUAGCGAAAGUUACGCUAAUACCGCAUAUUCUGUGAGCAGGAAAGCAGGGGAUCGCAAGACCUUGCGCUGAUUGAGCGGCCGAUAUCAGAUUAGCUAGUUGGUGUGGUAAAGGCCUACCAAGGCGACGAUCUGUAGCGGGUCUGAGAGGAUGAUCCGCCACACUGGAACUGAGACACGGUCCAGACUCCUACGGGAGGCAGCAGUGGGGAAUUUUGGACAAUGGGGGCAGCCCUGAUCCAGCCAUGCCGCGUGAGUGAAGAAGGCCUUCGGGUUGUAAAGCUCUUUCGGCCGGGAAGAAAUCGCAUGGGCUAAUACCCUGUGUGGAUGACGGUACCGGAAUAAGAAGCACCGGCUAACUACGUGCCAGCCGCCGCCGUAA